UGCACGGUGGUGCAGUUGGUAGCACUGUCGCCUGGGAGCCGAACCCAGGACCUUAUUGCUGCAAGGUCCUGGGUUCAGCUCCCAGGGGUCUUUCUGCAU